UUAAACUUUUUACAUCUAAGAUAAAUUAUAUAAGAUCCUUAAUUUACAAAUAAGAGAAUUCUAUUCUGUUUUAAUGCCUGUAAUGUUUGUUCAAAAUAAUAAUAAUUUUUUAUUACAAUGAUUUUAUAUAUUAGGUAGAUGCCCAUUCUGUUCCUAUUUUCAAAAGUUUAUUAUAUCUAUGCAAUGCCUUUGCUCAGGUUAAAGAAUGGAAUAAAAGUCUAGCAUCAAAUGUAUAGCUAACUAUUUUCAUUUGUGAUCAGAGCAACUGAUCUCCGUUCAAUUUUUAUCAUCAAAAGUUAGUUCUACCUUCGCAGGACCUCUGCUCUACAUACCUCCUCUCUGGUUAAAGAAUGGAAUAUAAGUCUCAUUUAUCAAGUUGGUGUAAAAAUUUAGCUUAAUAAAUUAAGAAGUUGUAAACUUUAUUAUCACAAUUGCCAAGUUGACCAAAUGUUCUUCUGGUUUUAAAUGAAUUAUGUAUGAAUCUAGUAUCAACUGGGUGUUCAAAGAUAGUUUACUGCUUGAAGAACUUAUCAAUGGACCAACUAAUUAUAAAACAGUUUUUAAUAAAAAUAAAAACGAAUUAUCAAAAGAUUUAAAUCAGCUAUUUGUGUAUAUUUAAACACUUAAUUUUUUGUGAGAAGAGAUUGUUGAUACAAGUA
rnacentral:lncRNA from 1 species